UUUUGUCCCUUCCAGGCAUCCUGCCCAACUUGCAAAGUGGAAACCCUUGCGACUUUUUCUUUCACUUGUCCUGAUAAUGUCUUGGGUAGUCAAAUAAAUUUACACAAAGCAAAGAAUGUUCAGGAAGCACAAACAAACACAAAAACACUUCAUCAUUAGCAUCCUGAAAGCAAAUUGCAUUACUUUGGUCCUGGUCUCCGUAAAAACAGCAGUUCCCCAUUAUGCGCAGUUUUGCUUUCUGUGGUUUCAGUUAUCCUCCAGUAAACAUGGUCUGGAAGCAGGUGAUACUCCUGACGAGUCGUCAGGAGGUCAAGAGUAGGCUAGCUAGUAGGCAAGCUGCGUCAUCCUGUGGAUGUCAUCACCUUGCAUCAUCGUAGGUCAUCCUAUUGGGCAGGCAUUUCACCAUCUCUUAUCAUCAAAAGAAGAAAGCAAUCUCUAUACCCAGCGUGGGGCUCAGACUCACAACCUGGAGAUCAAGAGUAGCUCUCUUGACUGAGCCAGCUAGCUGUCCCUCUAUGAAAGUUUUAAAGCAGCACACGAAGUCUUACGGCCCCAGUGACUUAUGUGUGAUCUUGUUUGUGCAUAUGAGUGAUGGGGGAGUGUAUUCUUCUCUCACAAAAGCCCUCCUUCCACGGUGACCUGGCCCCUCUAGCAUGGGAAGAAGGAAGAGAGAACAAGAAGACAUGUCUCCUCAGAUCCUGAGAAAGAGAGCACGACGUCGGGGAGGGAGAGGAAGAAGCAGACUCCUCUGCUAAGCAGGGAGUCCCACGUGGGGCUCAAUCCCAGGACCCCGGGAUUAUGACCUGAGCUGAAGGCAGACGCUUCACCGACUGAGUCACCCAUGCACUCCAGGUGGGCCCAGUUUUAAGCAGGAUGGGGAAAGUUUAGAUACUGAUACCUUUUUUCCUCCUCCCCAUUGGUCUGUACCUUUCUUAGCAGUAGAAAUGGGUCAGGAAAGAGCAAACAACUCUGGAACAUGGAGAGCAGGACUUUCUGGUCUUUCGAUACUUAUUGAUCAGGUCUCAUAUGACUGAUUUUCUAAGAACAAACUUUUUUUUUAAUUUUUUUAUUUUUUUAAAAAUUUUUAUUUACUUAUGAUAGUCACAGAGAGAGAGAGAGAGAGAGAGAGAGAGAGAGAGAGAGAGAGGCAGAGACACAGGCAGAGGGAGAAGCAGGCUCCAUGCACUGGGAGCCUGACGUGGGAUUCGAUCUGGGGUCUCCAGGAUCGCGCCCUGGGCCAAAGGCAGGCGCUAAACCGCUGCGCCACCCAGGGAUCGUCUAAG